GAUGAACGCUGGCGGCGUGCCUAAUACAUGCAAGUCGAGCGAACAGACUUGGUACUUGCUCCUCUUGCAUUAGCAGCGGACGGGUGAGUAACACGUGGAGAACCUACCUAUGAGACUGGGAUAACUUCGGGAAACCAGAGCUAAUACCGGAUAAUAUAUUUAACCACAUGGUUCAAGUUUGAAAGACGCUUUUGCUUUCACUUAUAAAGAUAUCGCGGCCGAAUUGCCUGUUUGUUAAGUUAACGGCUUACCAAGCGAACGAUGCGUAUCGGACUGGAGAGGUUGAUCGGCAACACGGGAAUUGAGAAAGGGUCAAGACCCUUACGGGAGGAAGCAGUAGGGAACUUUGAGCAAUGGGGGAAAUCUAGCCGGAGAAAGGCGGGGUGAGGAAUGAAGUUUUUAGGAUGGUAAAAUUUUGUUAUAAGGGAAAACGAAAUGUGUAAGUAAAUACGCACGUAUUGACGGUAACUAAUCAGAAAGCCACGGCUAACUACGUG
rnacentral:rRNA from 1 species